AGUGAACGCUGGCGGUAGGCCUAACACAUGCAAGUCGAACGGCAGCACAGGAGAGCUUGCUCUCUGGGUGGCGAGUGGCGGACGGGUGAGGAAUACAUCGGAAUCUACCUUUUCGUGGGGGAUAACGUAGGGAAACUUACGCUAAUACCGCAUACGACCUUCGGGUGAAAGCAGGGGACCUUCGGGCCUUGCGCGGAUAGAUGAGCCGAUGUCGGAUUAGCUAGUUGGCGGGGUAAAGGCCCACCAAGGCGACGAUCCGUAGCUGGUCUGAGAGGAUGAUCAGCCACACUGGAACUGAGACACGGUCCAGACUCCUACGGGAGGCAGCAGUGGGGAAUAUUGGACAAUGGGCGCAAGCCUGAUCCAGCCAUACCGCGUGGGUGAAGAAGGCCUUCGGGUUGUAAAGCCCUUUUGUUGGGAAAGAAAGGCAGCCAGUUAAUACCUGGUUGUUCUGACGGUACCCAAAGAAUAAGCACCGGCUAACUUCGUGCCAGCAGCCGCCGUAACAC
rnacentral:rRNA from 1 species